AUUUUGAAGCAUCGUUUAAUUAUUAUUAGAAUUAUAGCUAUUUAUAUGGGCAAAGCAAUUAUAUAUCACAAGCAAUGUAAUGUUAAAAUCUGAUUCUUCGAACUCCAUUAAAUCUGGUCCUUCAGGUUCGGGUGGAGGUCUAAACCAUGGAUCAUCUAACUCCCAUAAGUCAGGAUGUAACUGUUCUCUGCCAGGUGGUGGUCCACAUUGAGGACAUGGAAUGGGAGAUACAUAAGCUUUAACCCUAGAUGGACGAGGCAUAGCCAUGCCAGCUUCAUCUUCUUCCCAAGAUAUAUCUCUGUCCUGGAAA